GGGCGGUUAGUCUCAGUUGGUAGAGCACUGCCUUCACACGGCAGGGGUCACUGGUUCGAGUCCAGUACCGCCCACCA
rnacentral:tRNA from 3 species